ensembl:lncRNA LINC00958 long intergenic non-protein coding RNA 958
GACGGCUUAAAAGUGUGGCACUUCCUACCUCACUCUCUCUCUCUCUCCUGCUGCAUUGUGAAGAAACUGCUUGCUUCCCUCUCACCCUCUGCAGUUUCCUGAGGCCUCCCCAGCCAUGCGGAACGUGUUGUCUCUCAGCUGGUGCCACGAAUAGGUCUUCAGCAGGCUGUUCCAUUCCACCAUUCUGUCUGGCCCACUGCUUCUUACAAGAUUAAGAUAGCAGAUCCCAUGGGUGUAGGGAGAAAGUUUAAGCUCUCCUCACUAUGAGUUUUCAAGUAUAAAAGACUUUUUCUUCCACGAUUUUGAGAACAACUGAGGACUCUUGUGACCAGGACAACAGGGAAGCUUGCAGCAAGAUAGCUCCAGGUUGGAUUCAUGCUUCGCACCCCAAGGGCUGCCAGCCAGAGAGGAGGAGAAGCAAUCACUCCUGCAGUUUCUGAACACUACACAGACGCCAGGUAGCUUCUUCAGGAGAACAGCCCUCUGAGGAGGCAGGAAGAGGAGGCUUAUCUUUCAGCAGCCGGAGCUGCUGAGAUCUCUGGGCAGAUUAAGCUCUCUCUAAUGGAUGGGCUCCAGCCUGGCACAUUCAGUGGAGAGGGAUCCACUCAUCCAUCAUCAACAUAAUAUGGUCCUCCCUGCACUUCACAGUGUCCUCUUGCUAUUGAAAAGGCUUUUUUGCCUUCUCAAGUUUCUUUGUCAACAGUCUACAGGAAGAAGCUCAGGCCGCCACCGGCAGAGGUGAAUGCAAGCUCACGUUUUAUUUCUGACUGCUUAAUCAUUGCCUCGAUCACUGCUCAAGCUCUGCCUUUGUUUCCAAAGGUUACCUGUGGGAAAACUUCUUUUUCUAUGCUGAAAUUAAUAGGGAGGCAAAGAUGAGUCCACUGAUAAGCAGAGCCUUAAAACUCACAUAGAGAAACAACUUUGCUGGAGUGUGUGUGAGUGAACCACUAAGGAAUCAGAUAGUGUGAUGGCAGUUAUCAUUGCAGGUUAAGACAUUUCUACAAAUAUUUCGACAUCUCCAUAUACUCACUCCUUUCCCCCCUGAGUGGAGAGACUCAGCUACCAAGAGAGGAAGCUCAAAAAAAACAGAAGCUUCAAACAAACAACCAACCAAAAAAAAAAAAAAACUGUGGGUUCAUCAGAGGUGGUAGGGAAGACAAAAACAUGGGAGGAGCAGCUGGGCACGGUGGCUCAAGCCUGUAAUCCCAGCACUUUGCGAGGCUGAGGUGGGUGGAUCACCUGAGGUCAGGAGUUCGAGACCAGCCUGGCCAACAUGGUGAAACCCCAUCUCUACUAAAAAUACAAAAAAUUAGCCGGGCGUUGUGGUACGCACCUGUAAUCCCAGCUACUCCGGAGGCUGAGGCAGCAGAAUCGCUUGAACCCAGGAGGCAGAGGUUGCAACGAGCCAAGAUCGCACCAUUGCACUCCAGCCUGGGCAACAAGAGCGAAACUCCAUCUAAAAAAAACAAACAAGCAAACAAACAAAAAACACGGGAGGAGCAAUAAAAAGGAAUCCAUGCUUUGAUUUUUUUUUUUAGUGAGAGGAAGGGAAGGCUGCUGCCUCUCACUUCUCCCUGUUUUGUUGUUCUUUUAAGUAGCAUGUGUCACUCUGUAUAUAUCCUGUCCAUGUGUUUUCUUUUAUUAUUAUUUGUCCACUUGCCUAGAAUGAAAACUCCAUGGGAGCAU